rnacentral:rRNA from 1 species
CCAGCAACUUGGAGGAAGGUAUAGCAAUAGCUAGUUGUAUUAACAAGUAGUUUUUACAAUAUCGAUUUAAUCGACUAAAAUUCUAGGUAGAUUUUUGAUGAUGACAUUAUCUAUCUAUGUGUCUUGACCAAAUUACGUGCCAGCAGUCGCGGUAAUACGUAGAAGACUAGUGUUAUUCAUCUUUAAUAGGUUUAAAGUGUACCUAGACGGAAUUAUAGCCUAAAUCAGGUACUUCUUUACUAGAGUUAUAUGUAAGGGUGUAUUAAAGUACUGUUGGGUGUAGAGAUGAAAUUCAUUGAUACCAGAUAAUUGGCACAAGUAUAGGCGAAAGCAUCACUUUAUGUAAUAACUGACGUUGAAGGACGAAGGCUUUGUGUCGCGAACAGGAUUAGAUACCCCAGUAGUCUUAGCAGAAAAUUAUGAGUGUCAUAGGUUAGAUUUUUUUGGUCUAUAAAUGAAAGUGUAAGCACUCCACCUCAAGAGUAAUUUGGCAACAUUGGAACUGAAAUCAUUAGACCGUUUCUGAAACCAGUAGUGAAGUAUGUUGUUUAAUUUGAUGAUCCGCAAAGAACCUUACCACAACUUGAAUAAAAAUAAAUUAUUUUUACAAGCGUUGCACGGCUGUCGUCAGUUAAUGUCGUGAGAUAUUGGUUUAUUCCAUUAAAUUAACGUAAACCCGUACUCUAUUUAUAUAUAGAGUUGUUCAUCCGCUAUAAUGGAUGUAUAAGAGGGACUAAGACAAGUCAUCAUGG